AAGAGCAAAGCCAACCACGGAAAGGCUCUUAAAGUUUUAGAGCAUGUAGUAUACUUUUUCUGCCCAUGACCCAUUGGUCACAGCAAGUCACGUGGCCAGGUCCAAUGUCAAUGGGGGCCAACUCAGUGUUGAAUCACAUGGCAACAAUGGAUGGUGUUGUUACAAGGACCAGAGUCAAGGGCAGGCAAGAAAGUUUAGAGAUGGAAGAUCUGUGGUGCCAGAUGCUUGCUCUAUUGGAGAGAAGAAGAGGCAAAUAUACACAGCUACAGUUAUAGCUCUGUGAUAACCUUAUGAGCAACGUUUUCCAGAUAUUCUACAAAAUACUUGACUAGGACUCUUCAAAACUGUCAAGGUCAUCAUAAACAAGGAAAGCUGAGAAACUGCCACAGACCAGAGAAAGGAGACAUACUGUUGCAUCCACACGACUCCUGAAACAGAAUGCUAUGGGCAGCAGUGACAGUCACAACAAAGUUUAUUGCAAUGAGAGGCAAAGCAGACUGAUCAGGACUGACACUCUUGACCAGAGUGCGGCCCCGAACAGCCGGUCUACAGAGUUCUUAUAGCCCACCACAUCGUCUUAUCAUCACCUGGGAACAGAACAAAGAAAUAGUUUCCAGAUGGGGGUGGAAACAGUUCUGACAUGCCUUUGCCCCAAUCCAAUCAAACACUAAUCCAGUGAUUUUCCUUGAACUUUUGUUCCCUUGAUUGAUAGGAUAAGGCUGGUAUCUCUUAACCCACAGUGUUAAAACAAAGCUGUUAUUUCUCAAGGCUACAGGUUAGCCCUAACACUACAAUUUAACCCUUACAUUACUAAUUCAGUGUAAUAAGGUAUCCGAAGUGGGAUCCUGGAAUGGAAAAAGGAUAUCAGGGGAAAAUUAUUGAAAUCCAUAUAUACCAUGGAGUUAAUAGCAACGUGUCAAUAUUGGUUCCUUCAUUGUGACAUAUGUACUGUACUAACAUAAAAUGUUAACAAUAGGAGAAAGUGGGUGAGGAGUAUAUGGGAACUCUCUGUACUCUCUUUACAACUUUUUCAUAAAUCUAAAUGUAUUCUAAAAUAAAAAUUUUAUUUAAAAAUCUGUCUAAUAUGGAGCUGGAGUUGAGACUCACUUACAUAGCAACAUUGUAUCAGAAAACAAAAAGUCUUUUGAAAUAUUGAGCCCAAUUGCAAUUGCCAGCAUGUGUAGUCCUACAACCUGACUCUCAGAAACAACAGGCUAUUGUAACAGAAUACAUUUCUAGAAACUUUGAGGGAAACAAAAAUGGACUAAUUACAAUAAACAUAACUGUAAUAAUCAGAAAUAAUUAAAUAAUCAGAAACAACAGGCUAUUGUAACAGAAUACAUUUCUAGAAGCACUUUGAGGGAAACAAAAAUGGACUAAUUACAAUAAACAUAACUGUAAUAAUCGAAACCUGGAUAGGGGCACCUGGGUGACUCAGUUGGUUGAGCAUCUGACUCUUGAUUUUGGCUCUGGUCAUGAUCUCAUGGUUAGUGGGAUUG